GCACAGGCUUCUGCGGUUUAGCCCACAGCGCCACCACGUACCAAACCAUAGCCUCUGGCAUUAUGGACAAGCCUUUGCUCAGGGAUCUGGUGCAUGACCUGUACCCAAUGGAAAGUCACAGUGCCAUUGAGGAGCUUUCUGCUUUCUUUCUCCAAGAAGUGGAUACAAACAAUCAAGGAUAUAUCUCUGAAGAUAGUUUUGUUGCCUGGGUGCAAUCCUUCCCACAAGAAAAAAUCAAGUCAAUUCUAAAUUUUCCAGUGAUACCUUCCAACCUGUCCUUCAGUUAACCUCUCACAUCAAAUCCAAGUGUAAGUAAAAGUUUGGGUUGAUUUUUAACUUUCUUGCUUUGCUUUGUU
rnacentral:lncRNA from 1 species